UAGGGAAUCUUCCACAAUGGACGCAAGUCUGAUGGAGCAACGCCGCGUGAGUGAAGAAGGUUUUCGGACCGUAAAGCUCUGUUGUUGGUGAAGAAGGAUAGAGGUAGUAACUGGCCUUUAUUUGACGGUAAUCAACCAGAAAGUCACGGCUAACUACGUGCCAGCAGCCGCGGUAAUACGUAGGUGGCAAGCGUUGUCCGGAUUUAUUGGGCGUAAAGCGAGCGCAGGCGGAAGAAUAAGUCUGAUGUGAAAGCCCUCGGCUUAACCGAGGAAUUGCAUCGGAAACUGUUUUCUUGAGUGCAGAAGAGGAGAGUAGAACUCCAUGUGUAGCGGUGGAAUGCGUAGAUAUAUGGAAGAAUACCAGUGGCGAAGGCGGCUCUCUGGUCUGCAACUGACGCUGAGGCUCGAAAGCAUGGGUAGCGAACAGGAUUAGAUACCCUGGUAGUCCAUGCCGUAAACGAUGAGUGCUAAGUGUUGGGAGGCUUCCGCCUCUCAGUGCUGCAGCUAACGCAUUAAGCACUCCGCCUGGGGGAG
rnacentral:rRNA from 1 species